rnacentral:rRNA from 1 species
UACGUAGGGGGCAAGCGUUGUCCGGAUUUAUUGGGCGUAAAGAGCGUGUAGGCGGCCCGACAGGUCCGUUGUGAAAACUCGAGGCUCAACCUCGAGACGUCGAUGGAAACCGUCGGGCUAGAGUCCGGAAGAGGAGAGUGGAAUUCCUGGUGUAGCGGUGAAAUGCGCAGAUAUCAGGAGGAACACCCGUGGCGAAAGCGGCUCUCUGGGACGGUACUGACGCUGAGGCGCGAAAGCUAGGGGAGCAAACAGG